rnacentral:tRNA from 1 species
GCCCGGGUGGCGGAACUGGUAGACGCAAGGGACUUAAAAUCCCUCGGACAUUUGUCUGUGUGGGUUCGAUUCCCACCUCGGGUACCA